rnacentral:rRNA from 1 species
UACGUAGGGUGCAGGCGUUAAUCGGAAUUACUGGGCGUAAAGCGUGCGCAGGCGGUUUGCUAAGACAGGUGUGAAAUCCCCGGGCUUAACCUGGGAACUGCGCUUGUAACUGGCAAGCUAGAGUGUGGCAGAGGGGGGUGGAAUUCCACGUGUAGCAGUGAAAUGCGUAGAGAUGUGGAGGAACACCGAUGGCGAAGGCAGCCCCCUGGGCUAACACUGACGCUCAUGCACGAAAGCGUGGGGAGCAAAAGGG